rnacentral:rRNA from 1 species
CAUAUGCUUGUCUCAAAGAUUAAGCCAUGCAUGUCUAAGUAUAAUCAACUUAUACUGUGAAACUGCAGAUGGCUCAUUAAAUCAGUUAUAAUCUCUUUGAUGAUUAUUUUCUUACAUGGAUAACCACGCUAAUUGUGUGGCUAAUACAUGCGUUAAAAGCCUGACCUUUGCGGGGAAGGCUGUUCUUUUUAUCUAAAAACCAAUGCAGACUCUGUCUGUUGAUUUGGUGAGUCAUAAUAACCUUUCGAAUUGCAUGUUCUCGUGACGGCAAUGGAUCAUUCAAGAUUCUGCCCUAUCAGAUUUGGAAGGUAGUGUAUUGGACUACCUUGGCUUUAACGGGUAACGGGGGAUUAGGGUUCGAUUCCGGAGAGGGAGCCUGAGAGACGGCUACCACAUCUAAGGAAGGCAGCAGGCGCGUAAAUUACCCAAUCCUGACACGGGGAGGUAGUGACAAUAAAUAACAAUACGGGGCUUUUCGGUCUUGUAAUUGGAAUGAGAACAAUUUAAAUCCCUUAUCGAGGAUCAAUUGGAGGGCAAGUCUGGUGCCAGCAGCCGCGGUAAUUCCAGCUCCAAUAGCGUAUAUUAAAGUUGUUGCAGUUAAAAAGCUCGUAGUUGGAUUUCUGGUAUGGUGCGCCUGGUCCGCCCCGUUUAGGUGUGUGAGUACCGGCGCGCGCCUGCCAUCCUUUCGCGGAGUGUUCCUACCUUCAUUGUGGCCGGGUUCGCAAUCUGGAUCGUUUACUUUGAAAAAAUUAGAGUGUUUAAAGCAGGCAUUUGCUUCUGAAUACAUUAGCAUGGAAUAAUAAGAUAGGACUUUGGUUCUAUUUUGUUGGUUUCUAGGACUGAAGUAAUGAUUGAUAGGGAUAGUUGGGGGUGCUAGUAUUCAGCGGCCAGAGGUGAAAUUCUUGGAUUCGUUGAAGACUAACUACUGCGAAAGCAUUCACCAAGGAUGUCUUCUUUAAUCAAGAACGAAAGUUGGGGGAUCGAAGACGAUCAGAUACCGUCGUAGUCUCAACCAUAAACUAUACCGACUAGGGAUCAGCGGACGUCUACUUAUUCGACUUCGUUGGCACCUUAUGAGAAAUCAAAGUCUUUGGGUUCCGGGGGGAGUAUGGUCGCAAGGCUGAAACUUAAAGGAAUUGACGGAAGGGCACCACCAGGCGUGGAGUUUGCGGCUUAAUUUGACUCAACACGGGAAAACUUACCAGGUCCGGACAUAGUGAGGAUUGACAGAUUGAAGAUCUUUCUUGAUUCUAUGGGUGGUGGUGC